rnacentral:rRNA from 1 species
UGGGGAAUAUUGGACAAUGGGCGAAAGCCUGAUCCAGCCAUGCCGCGUGUGUGAAGAAGGUCUUCGGAUUGUAAAGCACUUUAAGUUGGGAGGAAGGGCAGUUACCUAAUACGUGAUUGUUUUGACGUUACCGACAGAAUAAGCACCGGCUAACUCUGUGCCAGCAGCCGCGGUAAUACAGAGGGUGCAAGCGUUAAUCGGAAUUACUGGGCGUAAAGCGCGCGUAGGUGGUUAGUUAAGUUGGAUGUGAAAUCCCCGGGCUCAACCUGGGAACUGCAUUCAAAACUGACUGACUAGAGUAUGGUAGAGGGUGGUGGAAUUUCCUGUGUAGCGGUGAAAUGCGUAGAUAUAGGAAGGAACACCAGUGGCGAAGGCGACCACCUGGACUGAUACUGACACUGAGGUACGAAAGCGUGGGGAGCAAACAGGAUUAGAUACCCUGGUAGUCCCUGAGCGGGCUGGCAAGGCGCAU